GCUGCAGGUGUGGAGAGUCAGCAGAGUUUUACUCACCGUGUGGAUUUUCGUUCCUUCUAAUGCUGUUAGCGGUGUGCGUCCAUGAGACUCAGCCAUGAUGGAUGCUCUGAUGCUGGUGGAGAGACAUGAUGUCAGCCAGGAUUCACCUUCAGGGAGGGCAGGAGGGGCUGGAUAGUGGGAGAGUUUCUUCACUUCACAUGUAGAGUUGGUUCCACUACCCUGAGGGCUGAACUACAAACCAAGUCCAGCAUAGCUUUCUUUGCAUUAGCUGGUUCAUAAAACCUCAGUCAGAUAUAAACUUCACAAACACCUGGCAGGAGUUUGUGGAGGACCUGGGCUUCUGCUGGUCACCACCCUCCUCUCCCUGGGCAUCGCCUACUACGUCAGUGGGGUCCUGCCUUUCUCAGGGUGGAGGCAGUAAAAUAAAUGAAGAUUCUUGUGAAGAACAAAAACCCUGUUUGCUCUGUUGCAAGCUGUAAAUUGCUGAUGUUUUGUAUCUUUGAUUUUCAUUGUUUUCUCCCCACUUGUUAUUAAUUCAAAUGUUUUUGGUAUGAACUUUUUCCUUGUUGUCUUUAUUUUACACAAAUACCUGCAGCUGUUGUUUAAAGAAGUCUCACU